GAGUUUGAUCAUGGCUCAGAUUGAACGCUGGCGGCAUGCUUUACACAUGCAAGUCGAACGGCAGCGCGGGGCAACCUGGCGGCGAGUGGCGAACGGGUGAGUAAUAUAUCGGAACGUACCCAAGAGUGGGGGAUAACGUAGCGAAAGUUACGCUAAUACCGCAUACGAUCUACGGAUGAAAGUGGGGGAUCGCAAGACCUCAUGCUCCUGGAGCGGCCGAUAUCUGAUUAGCUAGUUGGUGAGGUAAUGGCUCACCAAGGCGACGAUCAGUAGCUGGUUUGAGAGGACGACCAGCCACACUGGGACUGAGACACGGCCCAGACUCCUACGGGAGGCAGCAGA
rnacentral:rRNA from 1 species